UACGAAGGGUGCAAACGUUGCUCGGAAUCAUUGGGCGUAAAGCGCACGUAGGCGGCUUCGCAAGUCGGAUGUGAAAUCCCUCGGCUCAACCGAGGACGUGCACCCGAAACUGCGGGGCUUGAGUACAGAAGAGGAUCGCGGAAUUCCCGGUGUAGAGGUGAAAUUCGUAGAUAUCGGGAGGAACACCAGUGGCGAAGGCGGCGAUCUGGGCUGAUACUGACGCUGAGGUGCGAAAGCGUGGGGAGCAAACAGG
rnacentral:rRNA from 1 species